rnacentral:rRNA from 1 species
GUGGGGAAUUUUGGACAAUGGGCGCAAGCCUGAUCCAGCAAUGCCGCGUGCAGGAAGAAGGCCUUCGGCUUGUAAACUGCUUUUGUACGGAACGAAACGGUCCGGGUUAAUACCCUGGGCUAAUGACGGUACCGUAAGAAUAAGCACCGGCUAACUACGUGCCAGCAGCCGCGGUAAUACGUAGGGUGCAAGCGUUAAUCGGAAUUACUGGGCGUAAAGCGUGCGCAGGCGGUUUUGUAAGACAGAGGUGAAAUCCCCGGGCUCAACCUGGGAACUGCCUUUGUGACUGCAAGGCUAGAGUACGGCAGAGGGGGAUGGAAUUCCGCGUGUAGCAGUGAAAUGCGUAGAUAUGCGGAGGAACACCGAUGGCGAAGGCAAUCCCCUGGGCCUGUACUGACGCUCAUGCACGAAAGCGUGGGGAGCAAACAGGAUUAGAAACCCGAGUAGUCC